GUUCCGGAAGCGGAAGUGCACUAGGGGUCACCGUUAAUUGUCAAGAUGGCGGCUCUCAAUGUGCUGGUGUAUUCUUGUGGACGGCUGCUCCGAGGGCUCCUGGCUGCUCCAGUCGCGACCUGCUGGGCUCGGCCUCCAGCUCGCGGGUUCAGGGAAGUGGUGGAGAUCCAAGAAGGGAAGACAACUAUAAUUGAAGGCCGGAUGACAGGGACUCCCAAGGAAAGUCCAAACCCCCCUAACCCCACUGGCCAGUGCCCCAUCUGCCGGUGGAACCUGAAACACAAGUAUGGCUAUGAGCCGUUUCCAGGAAAUGGAUUUGGCUGUGUUUAUCCAGCAGAAGAAAUCCAAUCCCCUCCGAGCGGUCUCACAGUCCAAAGGAAGCCUGAGGAUCCAUUCACAUCUGCUCACAGGGGGCUUAAGAAGAUGUGGCAUUCAACUUCACAACCCUCGUCCCCUCCCACUCGGCUCAUAUGCUGCCUCGCACUUCCAAGGGAAGAGCAUAGGUUGGAGGGGUGGUCUGUGUGUAUUCUGGUCCCAUGGCAUGUAGGCUUUGGGGUAGAAAUGGUACCCAUUUUCCCACUUUCCCUCUUGUGUGUAAAUCUGUGACGUGCCCCCUAUCUCACCCAAGGAGAAUAAUAGACGUUUCAUUACCAAAAAAGAUGCUGCUGGUGCUCGAAAGAUUAAUGCACUUUUUUUUUUUUUUUUAAGAGCAAGCAGGGGAGGGCAGAGGGAGAGAGAAAAUCUUAAGCAGGCUCCACGCUCAGCACAGAACCCAACAUGGGGCUCAGUCUCACAAACCGAUGUUCUGCUGCUCAGUCAGUUCAUCCGGCCUUGCGGGGGCAUGCUGCCUCGAAGGAUCACAGGCUUGUGCCAGGAAGAGCACCGCAAGAUUGAGGAGUGUGUGAAGAUGGCACACCGGGCAG